GUUAGCCUUUUUAAUUUUUCUAAAAAUAAUAUAUACAGACUCUUAAAAACACAGCAUGGUGGACUUUACAAAAACUGAUACUUAUUAGAGGAAGCACUGACUGUAGUUGUCGAGAAAUAACCAAUAUUUGAUGCUGAAAUCUAUAACAGACAACUAUUUAUUAGGGAACUUGGAAUCCAUGAUUAAUAGAUUGAAAGUCUUUCAAAAACAUUUGAAUUCUUUGAGAAGAAUACGUUUUUGGGUGCAUUGACAUCUGGGUUGUUUUUUGGAACCGUAGAGAAGCGAGAUGCUCUGAGCUGAAAAACAAUCACUAAUCAGACUGAAAGUGGUUGAUUGGCAAUAAAAUGGUUCAUCAUGGAUCUUAUUUAAUGUCUAGAGAGCUCGGUUUUGAAACUGGAGCCAAAUCGGCUCAAACUGUAGCUCAAUUUUCUGUACAUGUCUUGAGAAAGUAAUUAAUCUCAUUCGGUUACUCUUGCACUCAGUGGCAAAUGGAGAGGGUCACCUCUCUGCUCACACAUGAACAGUGGUGAAUUGUCCAGCCUGAAGCUGUGAAGAUAGUUGGAAAAAUCGUCAGGCAUUGUAUUGUAUGGGAAAGAAUUUUCCUCUGACCAACCUGCUGGUUGGAGGGAAACUUGGCGGAUUAUACUGUGAGUAAACCAAUAAUUAACAUCUUUAUCCCGUGCUAUUCGCCAACGCUCGAUGAGGUUUUUCAGAAGACCGGCUUAUAGGGGAGAUUUUAAUUUCGUUGAAGGCAAUAGACCCCUUCGUUAAAUCAGCAGUGGAUUUUCUUGACUCGUUUUCAAAGAAGCCUGAAUGAUCAUUGGUCCAAUAAAACUUGGUGGAUUCUCUAGUGAUCAAGAAGUUGAUGAAACUUCUCUUGUCAUUCUGUUCUGGGCGGAUGUUAUAAUGAUGGCUUUAUUAUCAGUGAAGAUUUUUCUGUUUUGGUUAUAUGGCAACGAUUUUGUGUGAUUUGCAUCUUCCUUAAAAGUUCUGCAUGAAAAACUCUUCCUGUUUUUUAGUUUUGCUGAUCAUUGGUAGCGGAUGGUAUUUUUAAUCUCGCAAAAGGCGGCACCGACUCCAUUGAAAAUUUUGGAGCCAUCAAUUUAAAUUCCAUCAGACUGUGCGAAAUGACCUCUAUCGACUAUUGAGAUCGUUUGCGUUAUAGAGGUUUAAGGACGGGUGUGUUGUCCAGAAUAAAAUAUUCUUUAAUUACGCAGAUGAAAAACUUUGAAUUUUGAAAUUUUGUCUCGAUCUAUGUAGAGUGUCAACUCUAACUUGUUGAAGUUUCUAGUGCAAUGGAGGUAUUCUACGAAUGAUCUGCAGAGUCGAUGUUGGAGUAGUCUUGAAAGCUCCCGACAUUUCCAGGAAAACUUGACAUUGAUUGAAGAGGUCAUUCGUCAACACACAGAACUGCGCCGUUAUAGAAACUCUGCGAGCCUUCUCAUUUUGUUCUCCUGAAACAGAGCUUUCUGGGAUACUGAAAAAUUUCCUAUUUUGGAAUAGGCUCUGAUUGCAUGUUCGACGCCGAGAUGAAAAUGUUGUGGGAUUUUGCCAAUUAUGAAAGAAAUGCGAUUGCUCUACAACAGGAAAUAAAGAAUUCCAUGAAAGCCUUGUUUGACUUCAUGUUCAGGUUGUCAAUUCCAUGAAUUUUUGGAACCCUUCCAUUUGGAAAUGAUUUGGUUUCGCAUGCAAUUUCUUGCGUAGGUGGCAUCUGGAGUAGUUUCAACCAGUUGAAGAUUUGAUUUUGGAGGAAAAGGGAAGUUUGUCCAAAAAGUCUCGAACGGUCUUGUGACCCACCGCCCUUCUCCAGCGUGCUGAAAUUCUGAAGAUUGAGAGCUGAGAAAGGAGAAACACUUUUUUAACUCUUAUUAGUUUAAUUUCAUAAAUUUUUUUUUUAAAUGCCUGUAGUCAAAACUCGUAGUUGUCGAAUAAGUGGCUCCAUUCAUGCGAGACUAUAAUUUUUAUUUUUAAAGAAAUAUGUACAAAGAUUUGAAGUGUUGGAUGUAAAUACAGAAAUCUUGAAACUAAUUUUGUUCAUAUUAAAAUUUUAAAUGUGCAUUCAUCUUGAAAUCAUGAUUUAGUAAGAAUAAAAUGAGUGUUUCGCAUGUCUAAUGAGUAUCUGAUCGGCACUUACAGUAGGGAACAAAAAACCGAUCAUCUGCACAUGGAGAAGUUGCCAGUAAAACAAUGCGAUACGGAAACGAAUAUAUCAAACUAUGUUCCUGAAAAAAUUUCUUGGUAAAUAACUAUUGUCAGAUGUAUGUAAUGUGUUAAGUUAAAAGCCUUGAAAUAAUUCUGCGAUUUUGCAAUCAAUAUUUUGUUGCAAUAAAAGAAUAAAACAAAAUUGAUUAUUAAUAAGCGAUAAUCACAGCGUAUUGCAUCUGCGAAUGGACAAUGCGAAAUCAGUAA